rnacentral:piRNA from 1 species
UAGCUAAUGAAGGGAUGUCUGAUCCUUCC